UACGUAGGGUGCAAGCGUUGUCCGGAAUUAUUGGGCGUAAAGAGCUCGUAGGCGGUUUGUCGCGUCUGCUGUGAAAACUCAGGGCUUAACCCUGAGCUUGCAGUGGGUACGGGCAGACUAGAGUGCGGUAGGGGAGACUGGAAUUCCUGGUGUAGCGGUGAAAUGCGUUGAUAUCAGGAGGAACACCCAUGGCGAAGGCAGCAAACUGGGCAUCAACUGACGCUGAGGCGCGAAAGCGUGGGUAGCAAACAGG
rnacentral:rRNA from 1 species